UCUCAGGUCUUGAUGUUUACUUAGUGAAUGUAUACAGGCCCAACUCAAUGGAUAAGAGAUGUGAUAAACCAUGUUCACAGGGUUCAAAAGCGCAUAUGGGUGGUAGCAUGCGUCUUGGAUCAAGAAGAGUACUUUCAAGUCAAAGAUUCUAAAUUUGGUAGUUGUUACUAAAACUCACGGGAGGCCAAAUGGAUAUCGUAAGGUUUUGAAGGAUGGCAAGUGUUUGUACCUUGGAAUUGAUGAUUGUAGACAAAAUGUUGGUACAACAGGUAAUUCUGUGCAAGGCUACCUGCAAUUUUUGAAAUCUUAUGGUAUGCUGUCUUGUUGACAUUGAGUUGAUAAAGAAGGAGUAGUAUCUAUAUCUGGAUUACUUAGAAGUGGCUCUAACAAGUUUUUACUCUGGUUUUGGAUUACUUCUGCAGUGGGUUAGAAUCCCACAUUGUUUGGAGAAUGAAAAUCCAGAAACUCUGCGCACCCCCUUACAUCUAAUGUUUUACCUACAGGAGAUGAUUUCCUGGAUACAAAUUCAGUGCUUCAGCUAGCUCCAGUUAUAAAUCAGACUGCCUGUUAGGUUCUGGAUGGGAGUAGUCUUAAACAAUUGUAACUCGCAGAUCAACAGAUGAUGCCUCAUUUAGGAAGUCUCUUGAACUUCAUAAGAUUCAAAUGUGAUGCAUGUGAGAAGGAAAGCAUUUAUGUGGAGCUGUUCUUUGCACAGAAGCCUGAUACGAUCAUCUUAUGGAUUUCUUUAAGCAGAUUGCUGAAAAAUAUGGUUCUGGUCUACCAUCUUUUAGUUGAGACUGUCUCCUCUGCCACCAUAUCCUGAGUAUGCUAUUGUUAAAUCUAACUCUGAGCAUGAAGUUAAUAUGUUUUGGUUUGGUUAAGCAGGACUUGAUUCUGAUUCACAAGCUGCCAACAUCUGCCACACUUCUUGCGGUUACAUUCUCUAAUACUUGUCUCUGUCAUAUUAUAAACUCAAGAAGUUAAGUACAUGUAAACCAUUUGCAAAUCAGUCUUAGAAGUGAAUGGUGUUGUAGUUGUUAAUACAGGAUUAAUUGCUCACCUACAUUCUCAAACCUUUUACUACACUUAAUAGCUUAUUCUCUUCAACAUUCAUAUUCCUUCCUCUGAAGGAUAUAUGCCUGUCUAAAUGUGGAAAACAACUCCUGACAAGCACUUCUUCUCAGGCUUCUUAUUCCAUUCUCAGGUAUCAAUAACAGUUUAUAUCAAUUCUGUGCUGCAUCUUGUUGAAAGCAAGAAGGAUUUUUGAGGGUUUAAGCCUUUCAAGUGUCAUUUGUGGCGCAUUGUCUCUUAAGAAAUGGAGAGUGACAUAGGGUGCUUUAUCUUUUGUUCCAUCACUCUGUAAUCGUCUGGUAGUGUAUAUUCUUCUGUAGAAACUGAGGCCCAUGACAAAAUAAAUGUGAGUCCCUUUUUACAUAGUCAAUGAUUAUUAUCUUUUGUUUGAUUCUAGCAUUUAUCUUUGUUGAACAUUACACUCAUUGUCAUGUUCUACAACAUG